AUUUAAUAUGUCUGCUCGGAUUUUAGUGAGCAUUCGCUUUGGAUUUAGGGUUGACAGUUCAUAGUUUGUUGAUUUCUUUUACAAGAAAAUUGAGCAAACUUUCCAUUUAUUUAUUUAUUUAUUUAUUUAUUUAUUUAUUUAUUUAACGAAUCUACAAGAAGCAAAAAAAAUUGAUUUUCUUUUUAUAGCAAUGUUAAAACAGAAAAUGCAACUUUGUUAAGAAAAGCCAACGUAUUCUGUCAUAGCGCAUUAUUGUCUCAAGACUGAUUUCUUGCUCAGACAAAAAGGAGACAUCAGUUUUAAUGAGGAAGUGUUGAGUCACAGAGUCCUGUGCUUCAGAGAGACCACAUGGUCGCCAGCAUUGACCUCACGGCCUCAUCUGAGCCUUCCUGGCUUUCUUUCCCAAUUUCUGGUUUCCAGAGAGGAUGCAGGUGUCCUGAAGGGUCGCUCACAGGAAAGCAGUCUAGGCACCCUGAGGUUAAGGUUCUGGCUAUCACAGGGCUUUAGGAAAGUGGAGGGAGUGUGUGGCUGUCUUUAGGGACUGGAUUUCUAAUCUCUGCUUGUGGUGUUUACAGAGAAAUGGCUUUUGUUGCCUAACAGGAACUCCUCUAUCCCUUUACAGAUUGAUCGGAGGGUUAUAGUUAGAAUCCAGUGCAAAAAAGCGUCAGUGCCACUUGCUCAAACCCUAGCCCAAGCCAGGGAGCCUGGCAUUGUCACUAGUCUGUACCGUUUAAUUUUAGAACAGGUAAACUUUUCCAUGGUGGCCUUCGGCUCUCCUUUGUUGUUUUGUCCCCUGACUGGAAGCCACUGGCCUGGUCAUGAUAGGUGGGAGGACUGACACCUAAAAUCCAGAAGGCCCUCAUGUGGCACCAGGGAUCAUACCCACAAGGGAUCGUAUUCAACCAGCAGGGCACUGGGCCCUUUUCCUUCUCAUUCUGUUUUCAGGUAUUUUCCAAGCUCCAGGAUGUGUAUAGCACAGCUUUCCUGGACUGCCAGUUUUAUUCAAAGUAUUUUGGAAAAGAAUUAAUUUUAUAUUAUGAAAAUGCAAAGGCAACAUUUGUGUGACCUUUAAAUAUUAGACAUGUAACUUUAGAGAAACUUCAAAUGACUUUGAACUUAAUUAGGACAUGAUUGUUCAGUUCUGAGUUACUGCUGUCAAAAUUUUGAGGUACAUUGCCCAGGGCCUCUUCCAUGGACAGAAAACCAGGUUUUGAUUUACUGUAGCUGAAU
rnacentral:lncRNA from 1 species